UGCAGAAAGUAGUUCAGAUCUCAUGUGGGUGGAGGCAUAUACUUGCUUUUAUUGAAAGACAAAAUGUAUUUUCUUGGGGAAGAGGUACAAAUGGACAGCUUGGGCAUGGGGAGUCAAUUGACCGAAACAUUCCAAAGAUGAUAGAAUCUCUGAGUGCGGUUGGAUCUAGUGGACAACAGAUAGAAUCUUCAAAACUUGACCCAUCUACAGGGAAAGCUUUGGUUUCUCCAAUUGAGAGAUAUGCAGUUGUUCCUGAUGACAAUGUAAGUGUUCUUUCCACAGUCUUCAUUACUGGU